rnacentral:rRNA from 1 species
CCUACGGGAGGCAGCAGUGAGGAAUAUUGGUCAAUGGGCGCGAGCCUGAACCAGCCAAGUAGCGUGAAGGAUGACUGCCCUAUGGGUUGUAAACUUCUUUUAUAAAGGAAUAAAGUGAGGCACGUGUGCCUGUUUGUAUGUACUUUAUGAAUAAGGAACGGCUAAACACGUGCCAGCCGCCGCGGUAAAAAGGAGGAUCCGAGCGUUAACCGGAUUUAUUGGGUUUAAAGGGAGCGUAGAUGGGUUGUUAAGUCAGUGGUGAAAGUUUGCGGCUCAACCGUAAAAUUGCAAUUGAUACUGGCAGUCUUGAGUACAGUUGAGGUAGGCGGAAUGCGUGGUGUAGCGGUGAAAUGCUUAGAUAUCACGAAGAACUCCGAUUGCGAAGGCAGCUUACUAAACUGCCACUGACAUUGAUGCUCGAAAGUGUGGGUAUCAAACAGGAUUAGAUACCCGAGUAGUC